rnacentral:rRNA from 1 species
GAGUUUGAUUCAUGGCUCAGGAUGAACGCUAGCUACAGGCUUAACACAUGCAAGUCGAGGGGCAGCAUGUUGGUUGCUUGCAACCAAUGAUGGCGACCGGCGCACGGGUGAGUAACGCGUAUCCAACCUACCCUUGUCCAUCGGAUAACCCGUCGAAAGGCGGCCUAACACGAUAUGCGGUUCUCAGCAGGCAUCUAACGAGAACGAAAUGUGAAGGAGAAGGAUGGGGAUGCGUCUGAUUAGCUUGUUGGCGGGAGUAACGGCCCACCAAGGCGACGAUCAGUAGGGGUUCUGAGAGGAAGGUCCCCCACAUUGGAACUGAGACACGGUCCAAACUCCUACGGGAGGCA